CAAACAUAGAUAAAAAUGAUAUAUCAGGACGUGUCAGAGACAAAUAUUGGAGAGCACCAAUGACACUUCGAUAGCGAGUAGUAUCCUCAGGCGAAAGCUUUUCACCACCAUCCAAUAACAACUUCUCACUAGGAAGCAUAGGUG